rnacentral:rRNA from 1 species
AAUAGAUACCCGGGUAGUCCACGCCGUAAACGAUGAAUGCUAGGUGUUAGGGGUUUCGAUACCCUUGGUGCCGAAGUUAACACAUUAAGCAUUCCGCCUGGGGAGUACGGUCGCAAGACUGAAACUCAAAGGAAUUGACGGGGACCCGCACAAGCAGUGGAGUAUGUGGUUUAAUUCGAAGCAACGCGAAGAACCUUACCAGGUCUUGACAUCCCUCUGACCGGUCUAGAGAUAGGCCUUCCCUUCGGGGCAGAGGAGACAGGUGGUGCAUGGUUGUCGUCAGCUCGUGUCGUGAGAUGUUGGGUUAAGUCCCGCAACGAGCGCAACCCUUGAUCUUAGUUGCCAGCAGGUUGAGCUGGGCACUCUAGGAUGACUGCCGGUGACAAACCGGAGGAAGGUGGGGAUGACGUCAAAUCAUCAUGCCCCUUAUGACCUGGGCUACACACGUACUACAAUGGCCGAUACAACGGGAAGCGAAGUCGCGAGAUGGAGCCAAUCCUAUCAAAGUCGGUCUCAGUUCGGAUUGCAGG